rnacentral:rRNA from 1 species
AUUGAACGCUGGCGGCAGGCCUAACACAUGCAAGUCGAACGGUAACAGGAAGCAGCUUGCUGCUUUGCUGACGAGUGGCGGACGGGUGAGUAAUGUCUGGGAAACUGCCCGAUGGAGGGGGAUAACUACUGGAAACGGUAGCUAAUACCGCAUAACGUCGCAAGACCAAAGAGGGGGACCUUAGGGCCUCUUGCCAUCGGAUGUGCCCAGAUGGGAUUAGCUAGUAGGUGGGGUAACGGCUCACCUAGGCGACGAUCCCUAGCUGGUCUGAGAGGAUGACCGGCCACACUGGAACUGAGCCACGGUCCAAACCCCUACGGGAGGCAGCAGGGGGGAAAUUUGCACAAUGGGCGCAAGCCUGAUGCAGCCAUGCCGCGGGUAUGAAAAAGGCCUUCGGGUUGAAAAGUCUUUUCAGGGGGGGGGAAGGGAAUAAAGUUAAUACCUUUGCCCUUUGACUUUACCCGCAAAAGAAGCACCGGCUAACCCCGG